rnacentral:rRNA from 1 species
CAACCGCGUAUAUUAAAGUUGCUGCAGUUAAAACUCGUAGUUGGAUUUCUGCUGAGGACGACCGGUCCGCCCUCUGGGUGAGUAUCUGGCUCGGCCUGGGCAUCUUCUUGAAGAACAUAACUGCACUUGACUGUGUGGUGCGGUAUUCAUGACUUUUACGUUGAGGAAAUUAGAGUGUUUCAAGCAUGCAUACGCCUUGAAUACAUUAGCAUGGAAUAAUAAGAUAGGACCGUUGUUCUAUUUUGUUGGUUUCUAGAGCUUAGGUAAUGAUUAAUAGGGAUAGUUGGGGGGCAUUCGUAUUUAACUGUCAGAUGUGAAAUUCUUGGAUUUGUUAAAGAUGGACUACUGCGAAAGCAUUUGCCAAGGAUGUGUUCAUUGAUCAAGAACGAAAGUUAGGGGAUCGAAGACGAUUAGAUACCG